rnacentral:RNase_P_RNA from 1 species
AUUUUUGGGUGAUCGCGGUCUGACUUGUGCAGGCUGAGGAAAGUCCAUGCUCGCACAAGCUGCGAUGCUUGUAGUGUUCGUGCUUAGCGAAACAAUAAGCUAAGGUACUCUUUGGAGUAACGGCGGGAAAAAGAGCUAAGGCUUCGGCUAUGCUUUAGUAUCCCUGAAAGUGCCACAGUGACGAAGCAUUUUGGGAAACCAAAAUGGUGGAACGCGGUAAACCCCUCGAGCGAGCAACCCAAACUUAUGGUAGGGGCGCUCUUCCCAAGGAAUUGAACGAAUGGAAGAGGCAGAUUCUUCUGCAGAUAGAUGAUUGCCCAGUGGUUUUUUGCCUGAAAAAAACCAUGGACAGAACAUGGCUUACAGAA